rnacentral:ncRNA from 1 species
CCCCGUACGCCGUACGGGGCCCGAAUUCUGCUUUUGUAACCAAGGGGUCUGCUCGUG